rnacentral:lncRNA from 1 species
UUUUUUAAUAUUAUUGAAAAAUAGAUUUUUAUUAGGAUUAUAUGAGAGCUUAAUAUUUGUAUUAAAAAUGUAAAUAUCAUAAUUUGAAAUAAAAUUUACCAAUUUAGAGUCACACUUGCUAUUCCCAUCAUGUUAAACAUGUUCUUUCUGAAAGAACUUAAAUUCAUAUUUAAUUAAUUUUUUUGAAAGGUGUUAAUUAUUCGCGAAUGUAGGAAGGUCUAGCAUACGUUGUCUUAAUCGGGUCCGCACUAGAGAGCCCUCUCGCAUAACAGAUCCCCAAUUUAAACCAGACUCGAACUUGAGACCUAGAGGAAAAAACUCAUCCGAACCCAUCAUAGGUGAAACUUAAAUAUCCGUAACCACCACUAGAGCACUAAUGUGCAUAAUCAUUGCCUUAUAAGUAUAUAUCAUGCAAAAAGUUAUACAAAC